rnacentral:rRNA from 1 species
UACGGAGGGGGCUAGCGUUGUUCGGAAUUACUGGGCGUAAAGGGUGCGUAGGCGGCUUUUUAAGUUUGGUGUGAAAUCUCCCGGCUCAACUGGGAGGGUGCGCCGAAUACUGAGAGGCUAGAGUGUGGGAGAGGAAAGUGGAAUUCCUGGUGUAGCGGUGAAAUGCGCAGAUAUCAGGAGGAACACCGGUGGCGAAGGCGGGUCUCUGGGCUGAUACUGACGCUGAGGAGCGAAAGCGUGGGGAGCGAACAGG